GAGUGAUCAGCUGCUAGAGGUGGUUGGAUUAGAAGGAGCCAUGGAGAUGGGGCAAAUAUACACAGGACUGAAAAGUGCUGGGAGGCGGCUAGCUCAAUGCUCCUCGGUGGUCAUCAGGACUAGCAAGUCUCUACCAAUGCAGAUUGAUGGGGAACCAUGGAUGCAGACCCCAUGUACAAUAAAAAUUACACACAAGAACCAAGCCCCAAUGCUGAUGGGCCCUCCUCCAAAAACUGGGUUGUUCUGCUCCCUCGUCAAAAGAACAAGAAACCGAAGCAAGGAAUAAUCCUGUAUCAUUUCAUUCUUAGAGAUCUAAUUAGCAUAAUUGGGCCAUGGAACACUUAUGCUGGAAAUCUUUGAAUCAUUUCAAGUCUCCUGCUCAUGCAAAAUUAUGGAAUUGGUUUAACAGUUUUUGUUACUGAGUUAAUGUAAAAUUCAUCUAUUAGCAAAUUUAUUGUCUCAGUUUUUAUAGGCAUCUUUGCAUGAAGAAAGCAGAAGUUUACAUGAAGUGAUACUGCAUAUUUUUGUUGCAUGCAUUCCCAUAGAUUUUUAUGUCUCCCACCCAUUCCUCUCCCAAUUUCCAUUUCUCACUUGUGAAAAAAAAACCUAUGAAACAUAAAAAAAGGAAAUAUCAUGGGAAAUGUGAUUCUCAGUGUGAUGCCAUUAUCGAUAAGCACUAAUCAGUAAUGCUGCAAUGAUCAUAAUCGCAGAUUGCUAUGCUUUUCCCUUAGAAUCAGUGUAUCAAUAGUCUUUGACUUAUGACUUGCGGAGAAGCUUUUAAUUGAAAGAAUUUAUUAGAUAGUUGUAUAUGAUACCUUACUGUAUCUAAAUAGUUUUUAUUGGACACCUUAGUGCUUCUGAGUGGAAUUUAAAUAUCAGGUAUAAAAUUUUCUUGUGCUGAAAAAUAGAAAGUGGUUUUUGUUUUGUUUAGUUUUGUUUUAAUUUCAGAAAUAAGUGAAAACAUGUUACUUGGCAGUAAAGUGUGGUCAUAUGACAAGCCUUAUUCCUUUCUGCACGUGAAUCUAGAAAAAUAUUCAUAACCACACCAGUAACCAAAUAGAUGUUUUAAACUAUGUGCCUAAUAAACUGUGUUUCCCACCAAAGAUUCAGAAAAAAAGACACCUGAGAGAAAUGUUUUAAUGCAUAGUUAAUUGUGGAGAAAAUGUAUGGCUCUUCUGAUUAAUUUUGUGAUUACUAAAACUCUGGAUAGAGUGAAUUACCCAUUAAUUAUAAUUAAAAGUCUCACUUUUCAUAGACAAUAGGCCAUACACAUUUAAAGUUCAAUAUUACUAACCUAACAGAGGUUGUAUAUAAAAAGCUGAUUUCUUGCUUUUUUGGGUCAUUUUUAAAAUAAGUAUCUGUAAUUUUUAAUGGACCAGUUAAGUACACUUGAGAAAGUAAAUGACUGUAUCUGUUCCUUUCCAAUAUGAAUUGAUACCUGUAAUAAUAUUGAGCUCAUUGAAAGCAAAGCAUGCAUGUAAUUAGUCCCAUCACCUACUCCACUCCCAUGUCUAUGACAUUUCAAAUAUUUAUUUGGAUAUAAUUCCCUAGAUCAUUGUGUAAGGUGCUCAUGGCAUGGUUGGACUCUGUUUAAAGAAAUUACGGAAUAGUACUUUUCUUAGUGUUUCACUUAACUUAUGACAUAAAAUGAAAUGCUAUUUUGAGCAGUUUUGGUAUUGUUCGUUCAUAUUGACCUGCAUCUCAUCAUUGCAUGUUUUAUGUUUUCAAACAUGCCAUAAGGAAAACAAGUGCUUGAAAUGCAUGAUUUAUUAGUUUCUCUCUCCACGCUGCAUUAAAGUACUAAUGAUUUAUCAGUUCUUUUUUUUAUUGAUUCAUUCAUCUUUGAAUAACAAAUAGCAUUUAGUGAUUCUGUUGAACACAAUCCUGUGCAUGGAUUUAUGGGUUUCAAGUGAAAUUGCUGUAAUUUUUGUUCUUUGGUUUGAAAACUCAACUGAAUGCUGUUACAUCAAAUAGCUACUCUCAAGCAAUGUGCUAUAAUGGAAGAUUAUGUGUAAAGCUUAUUCCUUUAGUGUUCCAGGAAUAUUGGAUGGUAAAAAUUAAUCAACAAUAAGCUUAAUUGCUUUGAAAAUAAAAGCUUUUGAAUAAAACUAAGACGUAAUUUAACAUUCCCAGGAAAAUUAUUAUUACAACUGCAAAUGUACCACAGCAUUCACUUGCCUGAGUAUAAUUUUUAAAAAAUGGUAUUUGGCAGAACUGUAAUCUAGACCAAAAGAAAUCUCAAAACAAUAACAAAUGCAUUACUGAUAGAAAGUUACAUAACACACUUUUAUUUUGUGUAUCUGUGGUUAUAGGUAAUAUUAUCCUCACAUAAACUGACAAAAUUUUAUACAAUGGGCAGGCAGGCAUUGUGUCAAAAACAUAUUCUGAAUUCCACAAAUUAUUUUAUGUUCGGUACAACAUACAGUUAGUUCUUGGCUACCUUUUAGAGUAUAUAGUCUGAAGGCAGCAACAGUUUGUGAAUCAUUCUUAACAAUCUGUGCAGUGGAAAGCUGUUGAAUAGACGGUGGGAUGAAACAAAUUAAACAACCUGCCUAUAAGACUUCAAUAAUUGAAAUAAUGGGAUGCAGCUUUACUUCAAUGUAGCUUUGUAACUAUAAUUAUAUAAGUAGUUACGUUUUCAGUCCAUUGGAGUUAUUGAUGCCAAUAAUAAAUGUUCAAAUAUGGAUCAAAUUUUAGUUUUCCCAUCUCAUUUCCUGAAGAUACUGAUGGACUUGCCCUUCAGGUACACUUCUCCUGGGGUUUGAAAAAUCGUCUAUAAAAACUGAUGGUUUUGAAAUCAGAGAAGAUAUUCUUCCCAUUUUUAUGACAGCUUCAAAUAAAGAUUAUUUAUUUUAAGAAAAUUUCUAAACUGAAAGAAAGUUCUAUGGCAUAUUGCAGUAUUGAAUAAAAAUGUUAUCAUUACAAGACAGAAUUUUUUUCUUAUAUGUAUGUGGGUGACUUUGAGUUAUUGAGUCAACCUCUUUUAGAUGUAGUGGCCUCAAGUUUUAAGUGGAUGAAGCUCGUAAGUAAAACUUAACACUGAGUUUACAGGGGUCAGAGGAAAAGGAAAAAGAAGAUACACACUGUGCUAAAUAUUGUUAUACACUUAGUUGACGAAUGAACACAGAAAGAGAUUCCAGAAUAAACCUGGAUAUCCAUGCUUCUAAUAGGAAUGGAGGUAUCUAUGUAGAACCACAAAUUUUAAAGGAUAUAUUUUUCCACUUACAUGUAUAUACCAGGUGUAUUUGAUUCAAAAAGUGCAUGGAAGAAGAAGAGGAAAAAAUAACAUUUUAAAACAGGUUUUAUUUUUAAAUAGGUUAUGUGAUUAUAGCCAGAAUAAAAUAAAAGGCUCCGAUGUUUAGUGUAGUCUACUAUAGGCAGAAAUUUAAAUCCAAUGAGAAUUAAUGAAUCAUGUAUAUGUUUCUGCAUUUUGUUCUUUUUUUUUUUUAGGGGGAUGGGAAGCAAUUGCAAUUUUCAAAGAAGAAUCUGUUUGAAUCUCAGAUUGUAUUCUACUUGAAUGAGACAAAACUUUUAAAUGGCUCCAUUCAUUUUUCUGUCAAAGUUAAUUUACUAUUUAUUAGUUAUGGACUGGAAAAUGUAUUUUUCAUGGGUCAUAUCACCCCAAAUAAUUAUUCAAAUAUAGUACAUAGAUCUUAAAUUAAAUGAUUAAGCCCUUGUAAUAUAUGUUGAGGAUGUAAAAUUUAAUUAAAUAAAACAAACAGAAACCUGCAAAAGAGCUUUUAUUUUGUGAAAGGAAAAAUUACUCCCAAUUAAAUUGCAUUCUAUGUUUAAAUAAAGUUUGGAUAAAAUCACAUUGGAAGGAUUCUAUACAUCCUUAUUGUGUUUAAAACCAUGGAGUUCAUUUAAUUACAGUAUCAUAUUUUCUCAGAAAGUGUUAUAUACAGUAUUCUGUGUGUUUUUUGAAAUAAAAAUCUUAAUAACUCAGAUAAGUGUCAUUUUUACUGCCAUUUUGCCCAGAUUUUGUUCAUAAAUGAACUCUUCAAGCAGUUGACAGUCAAUCUACUAUGGUGAAAUUCACUAGAAGUACCAGGCCAGCAACUCUGGCUUUUGUUGGGGAGGAAGGAUUCUGAAUAUUGGGGACUGAAUUCUGUGUUUUUAGGAAGCAGGCCAUUCUACUUUGUGGUGCUUUGGCCUCACGCUGCUGUGAACAUCAUUCCAGCAAUUACAGAGAUUCCAGGAGCACCAGUAAACCAGAUAAAAUAGUGGGGAUUAAAAAGCUAAAGGCAGUGGUUCUGCAAAAACGUUUGUUGAAUUUUCUGGAUGAAACCGAUUCCUAAUUUUAUUUUGUGUAACAGACUUCAAGAAAUAUCUCAUGGACACUGACUAGGUGGUACAAGAUAUUUUACAAAGGGGCUGCAGCAAUUACAGAAUUGUUUUAAAUGGCAUAUCUCUUCUCUAAAUGUUUUUCUCCUGGGACAGCUGAGUGGCGCGUCGGUUAAGAGCUGGCUUGGAAUGCCAGAGGGCCCGGUUUGGA